rnacentral:rRNA from 1 species
UACGAAGGGGGCUAGCGUUGCUCGGAAUCACUGGGCGUAAAGCGCACGUAGGCGGACUCUUAAGUCGGUGGUGAAAUCCUGGAGCUCAACUCCAGAACUGCCUUCGAUACUGAGAGUCUCGAGUCCGGGAGAGGUGAGUGGAACUGCGAGUGUAGAGGUGAAAUUCGUAGAUAUUCGCAAGAACACCAGUGGCGAAGGCGGCUCACUGGCCCCGGUACUGACGCUGAGGUGCGAAAAGCGUGGGGAGCAAACAGGG